UACGGGAGGCAGCAGUGAGGAAUAUUGGUCAAUGGGCGCGAGCCUGAACCAGCCAAGUAGCGUGCAGGAUGACGGCCCUAUGGGUUGUAAACUGCUUUUAUGCGGGGAUAAAGUCGGCUACGUGUAGCCGUUUGCAGGUACCGCAUGAAUAAGGACCGGCUAAUUCCGUGCCAGCAGCCGCGGUAAU
rnacentral:rRNA from 1 species